CGUAGGGUGCGAGCGUUGUCCGGAAUUACUGGGCGUAAAGAGCUCGUAGGUGGUUUGUCGCGUUGUUCGUGAAAACUCACAGCUUAACUGUGGGCGUGCGGGCGAUACGGGCAGACUGGAGUACUGCAGGGGAGACUGGAAUUCCUGGUGUAGCGGUGGAAUGCGCAGAUAUCAGGAGGAACACCGGUGGCGAAGGCGGGUCUCUGGGCAGCAACUGACGCUGAGGAGCGAAAGCGUGGGGAGCGAACAGGAUUAGAUACCCUGGUAGUCCACGCCGUAAACGGUGGGUACUAGGUGUGGGUUUCCUUCCUUGGGAUCCGUGCCGUAGCUAACGCAUUAAGUACCCCGCCUGGGGAGUACGGCCGCAAGGCUAAAACUCAAAGGAAUUGACGGGGGCCCGCACAAGCGGCGGAGCAUGUGGAUUAAUUCGAUGCAACGCGAAGAACCUUACCUGGGUUUGACAUGCACAGGACGCCGG
rnacentral:rRNA from 1 species